rnacentral:rRNA from 1 species
UACGGAGGGGUGCAAGCGUUGUCCGGAUUUAUUGGGCGUAAAGAGCGUGUAGGCGGUUUGGUAGGUCCGCUGUGAAAACUCGAGCUCAACCUCGAGACGCCGGUGGAAACCAUCAGACUAGAGUCCGGAAGAGGAGAGUGGAAUUCCUGGUGUAGCGGUGAAAUGCGCAGAUAUCAGGAAGAACACCCGUGGCUAAGGCGGCUCUCUAGUACGGUACUGACGCUGAGACGCGAAAAGCGUGGGGAGCGAACAGG